AUUGAACGCUGGCGGCAGGCCUAACACAUGCAAGUCGAACGGUAACAGGAAGCAGCUUGCUGCUUUGCUGACGAGUGGCGGACGGGUGAGUAAUGUCUGGGAAACUGCCUGAUGGAGGGGGAUAACUACUGGGAACGGUAGCUAAUACCGCAUAACGUCGCAAGACCAAAGAGGGGGACCUUCGGGCCUCUUGCCAUCGGAUGUGCCCAGAUGGGAUUAGCUAGUAGGUGGGGUAACGGCUCACCUAGGCGACGAUCCCUAGCUGGUCUGAGAGGAUGACCAGCCACACUGGAACUGAGACACGGUCCAGACUCCUACGGGAGGCAGCAGUGGGGAAUAUUGCACAAUGGGCGCAAGCCUGAUGCAGCCAUGCCGCGUGUAUGAAGAAGGCCUUCGGGUUGUAAAGUACUUUCAGCGGGGAGGAAGGGAGUAAAGUUAAUACCUUUGCUCAUUGACGUUACCCGCAGAAGAAGCACCGGCUAACUCCGUG
rnacentral:rRNA from 1 species